AUUGAACGCUGGCGGCGUGCCUAACACAUGCAAGUCGAGCGGUAGCAGGUGGAGCAAUACAUGCUGACGAGCGGCGGACGGGUGAGUAACGCUUGGGAAGCUGCCUGUUAGUGGGGGACAACCCGGGGAAACCCGGGCUAAUACCGCAUACGCACUACGGUGGAAAGACGGGGACCGACGGGCCUGGCGCGAACAGAUGAGCGCAGCUCGGAUUGGCAAGUUGGUAGGGUAACGGCCUACCAAGGCAACGUUCCGUAACUGGACGGAGAGGACGACCAGUCAAACCGGAACGGAGCCACGGUCCGGACUCCUACGGGAGGCAGCAGUGGGGAAUAUUGGACAAUGGGGGAAACCCUGAUCCAGCGACGCCGCGUGGGUGAAGAAGGCCUGCGGGUUGUAAAGCCCUUUCGGUUGGGAAGAAAAGUUGUGACCUAACACGUCGCGACCUUGACGUAACCAACUAAAGAAGCACCGGCUAACUCUGUGCCAGCAGCCGCAGUAAGAC
rnacentral:rRNA from 1 species